rnacentral:lncRNA from 1 species
UUCACCUUCCAUGGGAGUACUCUUCAAGCUUCCAUAACUCUCUCAAGUUAGCCUUCAUUUUCAUGCUUUUCUGCAUUUUGUUUAUAAAACCUCUUAUGCUCUUUCACUCUUUCACCUUAAAACCCUUGAAAUGUCUUAGGUCAAUACUUUCUCUCACUACCUAGGGUUUUAGAGAAAGAAAGAAAGACCUUUUAUAAUAGUUUUGGAAUUCUUAAGGAGAUAUUCAAUUACAAAUCUAGCAAGGUGAGCGUUGAAAUUGAGUUGAUAUUUUAGUUGUUGAGAAUGAUUAAUAGUUAGAUUUAUGAGUGUUUUGUAGUUGAGGUAGUUUAUUCAUAUUGGUGUGAUUAUAAUAGUGCAAAUAAAUAGCCACUUGAUGGUAGUUGGAAGCUAGUUAGGAAUAACUAGCGGAACAUGAUUUAGGAGAUAGCUUUUAGAAUUAUGGUUUUGUGAUUGUGAUGCUAAUGUGUGAUAGGCUCCACUGAAACCCCACAUCACCAUUCGGGACAUUAGUGGAAGUUGGAGCUGCUUUAAGAAUCAACAAAGAUAAGUGAGUGAACUUGCAUUUCAAAACUGUUUUGGGAUAUGUCAAUGUAUUUGGACAAAUAUUUUGAAUGAUUUAUCCAAUUCUCUUAAAAAAAAAAUGCAUGGGAACAAGCCCUUAUGAAAUGUUUUUAUGUUGUGAAAUGGAAAGUGUGAUGAAUCCAUGUGUUUCUGUAUAAUGUUGAUAUAUAUAUAUGUAUAGUACAUUGGUAGAUAAUAUUGUGUAAUGGAUAUAACCGUGUGUGUGCACGAUGUGGGGGGAUGCACAUACUGAUAAUGACAGUGGUUAGGUAGGCGGAUGAUGAUAUUGCCCGUGUGCACGAUGUGGGGGGAUGUACACAACGACAUUAGAUGUGCAUGAUGUGGGGCAAUGCACACGAUGACUCUAGCUAGGUGCACAAUGUGGGGGGAUGCACAUGAGUUGGGGAGGCGGUGGAUGUAUAUAUAUACAUAUGUGUUUGCAUAUGUUCACAUGUAUUAAUGUAAUAAAGAUUUUAUGAAUAACAUGUGUGACUAUAAUAUAUGUGAAAUCUUGCUUGCUGAACCUAGAGCAUUUUUUUAGUGUUCCAAAUUGAUUUGCAUUGCAGUGAAUGGUUUAUUUGGGAUGAAAGGAAGUCUUUCUUGUUGCUCUGUUUCUCGUUGUAGCGAGAAUGAAACUUUCUGUUCCGCUUAUCAUUUGGCUAGUUUUUGCCAUAUUUUUCACUUUUCCAAUUUCAUGUUGAAUACGAAUUCUCUAUCGUCACAUGAUUGAUCAACCAAGGGUUCAAUUGAGGGUUUUGAUAAGGACUUAAGCUAAAGUGCAUCGUUUUCAAAUAAGUGCAUUAUGAUUUCAAACUUUUCCUUAUUAUAUUGCUUGUUCCCUUCAUAUGUUCACUCAUUGGGUUUAUACUCAUCGUUUUCAACUUCAUGUUUUCAGAUCAAGAGACAGCUGGUAACUAAGUCGAGGUGUCUCCGUAUAUUUGACCCUUGGUAAGUGUCUCGGCAUUCAGUAGAUGUACAUUCGUCUGAGUCUCUCCACUGGAAAUCGAGUCUUCCUUUUUAUAUGUAUAAACAAACCUUAUGUAAAUUGUUAAGACAUAUAUUUUAGACAAUGUAUGUAUAUUUGGAUUGGUAUGCCACUAAGAGUCGGAAAUGGUUAGCAUUAUUUUGGUUCGAAAUUACGAAAUGUGACUUUAGUAACUUUGAUGGAAUAAUGAGCAGGAUAAUAUAGAUAGGUUUGCUUGGGCUUAAUGGACUACGUCCAUUGAGUCCAUGGGCCAGUCACGGCAUGGAAAUCGGGUCGUGACAUAUAUAGAGUUAUUUUGACAUAUUUUGGGGUAUUAAGUAGUUAGAUCUUUGAGAUUUUAGAUGCAAAUUUUAGCAUUUUAGGUGUUUUUCUAGUUUAAGUUUGAUUACUUGUUAAGUGGUUAAUUUAAGUUAUUUUAGUUAAAUUUUAUGUUAUUUUGUUUUAAAUUACUUUAAGAGUAGUUAUUGCUAACUUCUCUUGUUGCUGUUGCAGGACAUUUGAUGAAAAAGGCUCAUUUGAUGAAAAUUAGUGCAAGUACGGUGAUGGCUUCAUUCGUAGAUAUUUUGGUAUUUUGACCAUAUCUCUCUCUACAAAACUCCAAAUAAGGUGAUUCUUAGACCACUAGAAUUAUGAGAAAAAGGGAUACAAUGUUUAUGUUUACAAAUUUGCCCAGUUCUAAUCAGAUCAUGAUCAAAAUAUUUGUCUAAUUUGAAGCACUCUAGUAGUAUUCAUGGACUGAACAUGAUGUGGUAUUUGGAGCAUAUCUUUUAAUCCAGAAGUCCAAUUAACAUUAUUAAUGCCAUUGAAAAGCUAAGAGAUAGGGCUACAAUUUUUAUGUUUACCACUUUUCCAGGUUUGGAACAGAUCAUGA